rnacentral:SRP_RNA from 2 species
GCCGGGCGUGGUGGCACAUGCCUGUAGUCCCAGCUACUCGGGAGGCUGAGGCAGGAGAAUCACUUGAACCCAGGAGGCAGAGGUUGCAGUGAGCCAAGAUCGUUCCACUGCACUCCAGCCUGGGUGACAGAGCGAGACUCUGUCUCAAAAAAAAAAAAAAAAAAAAAAGACAUAGUCUCGUUCUGUCGCCAGGCUGCAGUGCAGUGGCGCGAUCUUGUCUCACUGCAACCUCCGCCUCCUGGGUUCAAGCGAUUCUGCUGCCUCAG